UGCAAUUGUGUGGCCACCUCCGAGUCCCUCGUAGCACCAAAUCGCCUAUGGCUGAGGAUUACAUGUACAGUUAAAAGGAAAGGGUGAGUUUGCAAAAACCCAGUGUGUAAUCCCUUAUCAGUCAGUCUGUAUACAAUAUGCCAUAGCAGUUUGGGCCUGAGCCCUUUUGAAUAACAGUACAGUGUGGCCCUUAGCCUAAUAUAGUAGCAAUGUGGGCCUUAGCCCGAUACAAUAUCAGUACAGUGCAGUAGUGCAACCUAUCCCAAUCCUACCAACACAC
rnacentral:lncRNA from 1 species